AUGGUGGAGGGCUCUGAGAGUGAUAUCUCGAACCUCAAGUUCCUCUUAUUGUGCUUCCAGCAGAUGUCCGGCCUUAGGAUCAACUUCGACAAGAGUGAGGUUAUGGUCUUGGGCUACGCCCAAGACGAGCGACAGAGCAUAGCGGAUCGGCUUAACUGCCAGCUUGGGUGUUUCCCCACGACUUAUCUGGGGUUACCCAUUAGUGAUGCCAGGCUUACGGUAGCCGAGCUGCGCCCCACGGUGGGGAAGCUCCAACACCGGAUCGAGCCCUGGUAGGGUCGGUGGCUCUCGAAAACGGCCCGUACGGUGCUCAUUAACUCGUCCCUCUCCAGCCUCCUAUUAUUCAUCAUGAGCUUCUACAGCCUUCCGGAGACUCUUCAUCACGAGAUUGCCACCGUUCAGGGGUGCUUCUUCUGGGCCGGCGAGGGUGAUAAGCAGAAAUACCACAUGGUCCGGUGGUCUGAGAUCUGCAAACCUCGCGACAAGGGCGGCCUUGGGAUCAUGUCCUCCAAACGCAUGAAUAUUGCCCUUAUGACUCGGUGGCUCUGGAGGAUUGGCAGUGGAGAUGGUGGCUGUGGCUACGCAUUAUUCAGCAGAAAUACCUCCGAGGCCAGCCUCUUGCCUUCUGUCAGCGAUCUGGGGGCUCCCAGUUCUGGCAAUCCAUCAUUCAGCUCCUCCCUGUCCUCCGGAUCGGGACCUCGAUCGAGAUUGGUUCCGGCACCGCCACGCUGUUCUGGUUCGAUCGCUGGACUGGUCACACGCCCUUGGCGGCCCGCUUUCCAGACCUGUUCUCCAUCGCGGUUGCCCCUCAGAUCUCCGUGGCGACCACCCUUAUUGACUUAG
rnacentral:rRNA from 1 species